GGAGAUAUCGACUUAAAACUCCUACAAUUGGGAGCCUUAUGGCCCACCUCUUAUGAUGGGGCAGAUACCCUUCUCGCAGAUACAACACCAAGAUGGGUAUAAUUGGCAACUCUUUGACGAGCCUGAGUCCCUCCAGGCGACAGAACUUGGGUAUUUUCAGACAUAUGGGGGGGAUGCGCCUCAGAGUGCAGUGUACAGACAUGGUGUGGGCCCAUCACUUGCAUCCCUAGCCUUAACGAUGGUCGAGAUCACUCAACAAGUUUGGGAGAAGUUAAUGCGGGAGCAGGCCUCAAUGAUUGUCCAAAACACACAACAGAUGUGUGAGAAGCUCAAAAGGGAGCUCAGGGAAGAACUCACUACACAUAUCAAGCAAAUGACGAAUUAAUUUCAAGCAAAGAAGGGAGUUCAGAUGCCUUCUAUGUUCUGGAUGCAUCUGAGUGGCCACUGUGCAUUUAGGGAGUGCAUAGAACGUAGGAUCCUACUGUUGCAGCCUAGUUCUACAUUGCUACCACCUCAUACAUGACGCGAUGAUCAAGUAUCUCCAUUACAUAAACACAUGCAUAUGUCUAUAUUAUCACACAAACCAUUUAGGUUAAAAGUGAGCCUAUUAAAAACCCUUAGUGGUGUUGUGAAGUUAAGAUUGAUCUUACUAAAAAUUUCAGAUAUUUUGUUCCAUUUGUUGAAUGGUUUGGUUGUAGAGGUUACUCAUAACCUAACUAUAUUGGCGUAUUUAUUAUUACUAGAAGUUGUGUUUCAAGUUAUACACAUGU